GAUUGAAAGGAGAAAGAGGUUGAGGGAUAGUGAGGGAAGUUGGAGAAGGGAGUAAAAAGAGGCCGCUUACCGGAUUUGAAAUCGGUGAGAUGUUUCUUGGGCUGGUCGGUCUGAGGACCUGAGGUCGUAGGGCUGCCCAUCUAGUUUCUCAAUUAUCCACUGCCAAAUAUGGCUAAGAAAGCCUGAUUGCUGAUGUGUUCCUGCUGUCCCUAUGAUAGAUGUGCCACCUUGUCUUUGGUGAUUAAGUACUGCUGCUUGGCCUCUGCUACUGUGGGUUCCCCUCAGCCCCACUGAAAUCAAGGAGCCCAUAGUGACAGUCAUACUUACCCUACAAAAGAUAGCAGCGAGAGAACUUUUCAAGGAUACAAUUGCUCCCCCUACUAAGACAUUUUUAAAUUCUGAAGGGAAGGGCAUACUUUCUGGGCUCUCUCAUGAAACACAGUUGGGGAGUAAAUGUGCAGGCCACACAUAACAAAUCCAGUCCAUCAAUUCAAUUAUCUCCGCAGUCUUUUGAGUUCUCUUCUCCACAACAUUUCAGGGAAGCUCUGGAAUCUCAAUCUUAUUAAAUGUAGCCUACCAUUGCAUUGGAGUUUCGGUUAAUCUGUUAAAGCUACCCACAACCGCAGAAGCUAAAACAUAAAUCUAAAGUCUCUAGUAAGCGCAUCAUAUCAAAGAAAUUCAGCCAAAUUUAGUGUUAUAUUUUGUCAUCUUUGUUCUAAGACCCUUAGCCAUGUUCCCACACAUUUUCUACAGAUUUUUGCUGAUAUGUAUUAGAAAAGUCCUGCAAUCCCUUCAUAAUGUAAGCUAUCCUUUCCUGGGCUGUUGUGUGUUCACUGUCUCCUAUAGCUUGGUGUUAUCUCACCAUAGCCAUAGGUCUAGUAGCAACAGGAGGUGGUUGUAGUACGUCUUGAGAAGGUUAUGGUGUCUUCCCCCGGUGAGGUUAUCACAGGCUUUUCAUGCAGAGGAAGGCUAGUUUCCUCAAAUCUUGGAGAGCAAGCUACUUCCACUGAUAAGAGAAGCACAGAAUGACUAUGUGGCCCAAAUUACCACUUCUUGUUGUUGUUGUUGUUGUUGGUGUUGUUGUUGUUGUUUUUCUGAGCUCAGCCAUAUGUCCAAAUUCCAAGAUUCAGGAUCUCAUUAUUUU
rnacentral:lncRNA from 10 species